ACUCGGAUAAGUCCUGCACGACCAGCUCCGUGCAAUCCUCCAGGGCUUGACCGCAGCAAAGGUACCAUGUGCAGCGGUGCGAUGCAGGUAGCUUAUCCG
rnacentral:SRP_RNA from 1 species